UGAGCAAUCUGCCCUUCUCUUCGGAAUAAGCGUGGGAAACCGCGUCUAAUGCCGAAUACGACCUCCUUUCGCAUGAUCGGAGGUGGAAAGCUCCGGCGGAGAAGGAUGAGCUCGCGGCUUAUCAGCUAGUUGGUGUGGGUAAUGGCCCACCAGGGCGACGACGGGUAGCCGGCCUGAGAGGGUGACCGGCCACACUGGGACUGAGACACGGCCCAGACCUCCUACGGGAGNAGCG
rnacentral:rRNA from 1 species